GACGAACGCUGGCGGCGUGCCUAAUACAUGCAAGUCGAACGAAAGCAACCGGUGCUUGCACUGGUCAAUCUAGUGGCGAACGGGUGAGUAACACGUGGGUAACCUGCCCAUCAGAGGGGGAUAACAUCCGGAAACGGAUGCUAAAACCGCAUAGGUCUUCGAACCGCAUGGUUUGAAGAGGAAAAGAGGCGCAAGCUUCUGCUGAUGGAUGGACCCGCGGUGCAUUAGCUAGUUGGUGGGGUAACGGCUCACCUAGGCCGUGAUGCAUAGACGACCUGAGAGGGUGAUCGGCGACAUUGGGACUGAGACACGGCCCAAGCGCCUACGGGAGGCAGCAGUCGGGAAUCUUCCGCAGAGGACGGAAGUCUGACGGAGCAGCGCCGCGUGAGUGAAGAAGGUUUUGGGAUCGUAAAACUCUGUUGUUAGAGAAGAACAAGUGCUAGAGUAACUGUUAGCGCCUUGACGGUAUCUAACAAGAAAGCCACGGCUAACUACGUG
rnacentral:rRNA from 1 species